rnacentral:rRNA from 1 species
AUUGAACGCUGGCGGCAGGCCUAACACAUGCAAGUCGAACGAGUGGCGGACGGGUGAGUAAUGUCUGGGAAACUGCCCGAUGGAGGGGGAUAACUACUGGAAACGGUAGCUAAUACCGCAUACCAUCGGAUGUGCCCAGAUGGGAUUAGCUAGUAGGUGGGGUAAAGGCUUACCAAGGCGACGAUCCCUAGCUGGUAUGAGAGGAUGACCAGGCACACGGGAACGGAGAAACGGUCCAGACGCCUACGGGAGGCAGCAGUGGGGAAUAUUGCACAAUGGGCGCAAGCCUGAUACAGCCAUGCCGAGUGUAUGAAGAAGGCCUUCGGGUUGUAAAGUACUUUCAGCGGGGAGGCGUUACCCGCAGAAGAAGCACCGGCUAACUCCGUGCCAGCAGCCGCGGUAAUUC